GACGAACGCUGGCGGCGUGCCUAAUACAUGCAAGUUGAGCGCUGAAGGUUGGUACUUGUACCGACUGGAUGAGCAACGAACGGGUGAGUAACGCGUGGGGAAUCUGCCUUUGAGCGGGGGACAACAUUUGGAAACGAAUGCUAAUACCGCAUAAAAACUUUAAACACAAGUUUUAAGUUUGAAAGAUGCAAUUGCAUCACUCAAAGAUGAUCCCGCGUUGUAUUAGCUAGUUGGUGAGGUAAAGGCUCACCAAGGCGAUGAUACAUAGCCGACCUGAGAGGGUGAUCGGCCACAUUGGGACUGAGACACGGCCCAAACUCCUACGGGAGGCAGCAGUAGGGAAUCUUCGGCAAUGGACGAAAGUCUGACCGAGCAACGCCGCGUGAGUGAAGAAGGUUUUCGGAUCGUAAAACUCUGUUGGUAGAGAAGAACGUUGGUGAGAGUGGAAAGCUCAUCAAGUGACGGUAACUACCCAGAAAGGGACGGCUAACUACGUG
rnacentral:rRNA from 1 species